rnacentral:lncRNA from 1 species
GCUUUUCACACACCCUCGAAACCCAUAACCGGUUAGUGUUCUUGAUGUUUUGUUGAAUGUUAGUGUGUUCAUGUUAUGUUUGUAUGAGAUUAUGUGACAAUAUGUUAAGUUGUUGAGUUAUACAUAGAAAUCGGUUCAUGAAUGUUCUUGUUAUGUGUUGAAAUUUGCAUAAAUGCUUGAUGUUGAAAAUGGGUUCAUUGUAUGUUAAAAAGGGUGAAUGAUGAUAUUGGUUGCACUUGGAUUAGAUCCGAAAAGUUUGGGUGUUUAUACUAUAAAAAUCGGCUAAUGAAUAUGUUUGUCAAGUAGGAUGCAUGCUAGUAAAAUUGUAUCUUGAUAGUUGUUCAUGAUUUUGGGUGAAUAAGUGGUUAAUAUGUUAUGAACUUGUUGAAUAUAUGUUUGGAUAUGUGAAGAACACUUUGAAUGAUAGAAAACUGUUAGUGGAAUGCUAUUGGUAG